rnacentral:misc_RNA from 1 species
UUCAGACUUUCAUCAUGAUCAUCAUGCGAGGAACCUAUUAUUUGGAAGAACAUAAUUCCUCAGGAUAACAAAUUUGAACAGGAUUUAAGGUGACUUAAUAAAUCCAUAGAUCCUCCACUUCAUAGUUUAUCCAUGCUUGCCGAUGAUAUAUAAUUGAAAUUAUAUUGAAACAUGUCGUUAAUGUCCUUUACAAAGAAACAAGGGACUGCUUCAGAUAACUUCAAAAGAGAACUCACAUGCGCUCCUUUAUUGUACUGCCUUUACCCAUGUUUUUAGCUUCCUUCAUAAUCCUCGAUUUUUAGAAGCGUCGACCGUCAUGAUUGAGGAUAUUAGAGGAACAGAGAACACAGAGACGUGAUUGU